UUCUUUUCUUCACAUACCCCAACUAAGGAGGUUGGGGUCAGAGUGCUGGGGCAGCUAUGAUACAGCACAACCUGGAGCAGGGAGGGUUGAGGGCCUUGCUCAGGGGCCCAGCAGUGGCAGAUUGGCUCUGAUUGGAUCCUCCGACCAGUUGUGCCACCACUGCCCCAAUGAGCUUCUGACUACCAUUCCAUGCAUUAAUUUCUCUCUCAAGUAAUGUUUCUUGCUGUUUCAUAGUUUGCUCCACUAGGGAUCCUCAUACGAAUCCAAAGUUCAAACUGAAGUAAACUUUCACUCUGUGGA